rnacentral:rRNA from 1 species
UGACAGGUGGUGCAUGGUCGUCGUCAGCUCGUGUCGUGAGAUGUUGGGUUAAGUCCCGCAACGAGCGCAACCCUUGUUACUAGUUGCCAGCAUUUAGUUGGGCACUCUAGUGAGACUGCCGGUGACAAACCGGAGGAAGGUGGGGACGACGUCAGAUCAUCAUGCCCCUUAUGACCUGGGCUACACACGUGCUACAAUGGACGGUACAACGAGUUGCGAACUCGCGAGAGUAAGCUAAUCUCUUAAAGCCGUUCUCAGUUCGGACUGUAGGCUGCAACUCGCCUACACGAAGUCGGAAUCGCUAGUAAUCGCGGAUCAGCAUGCCGCGGUGAAUACGUUCCCGGGCCUUGUACACACCGCCCGUCACACCAUGGAAGUUUGCAAUGCCCAAAGUCGGUGGCCUAACCAUUUGGAGGGAACCGCCUAAGGCAGGGCAGAUGACUGGGGUGAAGUCGUAACAAGGUAACCGU